AUACCAGCUGGCUGCAACUGUUUAUUAAAAACACAGCACUGUGCAAACACGAAAGUGGACGUAUACGGUGUGACGCCUGCCCGGUGCCGGAAGGUUAAUUGAUGGGGUUAGCGGCAACGCGAAGCUCUUGAUCGAAGCCCCGGUAAACGGCGGCCGUAACUAUAACGGUCCUAAGGUAGCGAAAUUCCUUGUCGGGUAAGUUCCGACCUGCACGAAUGGCGUAAUGAUGGCCAGGCUGUCUCCACCCGAGACUCAGUGAAAUUGAACUCGCUGUGAAGAUGCAGUGUACCCGCGGCAAGACGGAAAGACCCCGUGAACCUUUACUAUAGCUUGACACUGAACACUGGUCCUUGAUGUGUAGGAUAGGUGGGAGGCUUUGAAGCGUGGACGCCAGUCUGCGUGGAGCCAUCCUUGAAAUACCACCCUUUAAUGGCUGGUGUUCUAACGUAGACCCGUAAUCCGGGUUGCGGACAGUGUCUGGUGGGUAGUUUGACUGGGGCGGUCUCCUCCCAAAGAGUAACGGAGGAGCACGAAGGUUGGCUAAUCCUGGUCGGACAUCAGGAGGUUAGUGCAAUGGCAUAAGCCAGCUUGACUGCGAGCGUGACGGCGCGAGCAGGUGCGAAAGCAGGUCAUAGUGAUCCGGUGGUUCUGAAUGGAAGGGCCAUCGCUCAACGGAUAAAAGGUACUCCGGGGAUAACAGGCUGAUACCGCCCAAGAGUUCAUAUCGACGGCGGUGUUUGGCACCUCGAUGUCGGCUCAUCACAUCCUGGGGCUGAAGUAGGUCCCAAGGGUAUGGCUGUUCGCCAUUUAAAGUGGUACGCGAGCUGGGUUUAGAACGUCGUGAGACAGUUCGGUCCCUAUCUGCCGUGGGCGCUGGAGAAUUGAGGGGGGCUGCUCCUAGUACGAGAGGACCGGAGUGGACGCAUCACUGGUGUUCGGGUUGUCAUGCCAAUGGCACUGCCCGGUAGCUAAAUGCGGAAGAGAUAAGUGCUGAAAGCAUCUAAGCACGAAACUUGCCCCGAGAUGAGUUCUCCCUGAGACUUUAAGUCUCCUGAAGGAACGUUGAAGACGACGACGUUGAUAGGUCGGGUGUGUAAGCGCAGCGAUGCGUUGAGCUAA
rnacentral:rRNA from 1 species